CAGGAGGGACACGGACCCCAAAGCCAAUGGAUGCUGUGACGGGGGAUCUCUGUCCUGAAGGACACUUCUGCCUUGCAGGCUCAGCAGCACCCUCCCCGUGCCCAGAUGGGGAAUACAGCAAUGCAACAGGUCAAGACAAAUGCUUCCCAUGUCCAGCUGGGUUUCACUGUCAGCGCGGCAUAAUGCACCAUUGUCCACCUGGCUUUUACUGCCCCCAGAAGACUGGAAUCAGCUUUUACCCUUGUCCAGCUGGCACUUACAACCCAUCUCAUGGAAUCAGCCAGGCCGAGAGGUGCCAGCAAUGCCCUGCAGGGAUGUUUUGUGGAGAAUGGGGAUUAUCCUCUCCGAGUGGCCCCUGCUGGCCAGGA